GCUGGGGCAGGGUUACUGGGAGGGACUGGGAGAUGCUGGGGCAGGGCACUGGGAGGAACUGGGAGAUGCUGGGGCAGGGAACUGGGAGGAACUGGGUGAUGCUGGGGCAGGGCACUGGGAGGAACUGGGAGAUGCUGGGGCAGGGAACUGGGAGGAACUGGGUGAUGCUGGGGCAGGGUUACUGGGAGGGACUGGGUAAUUCAGGGGCAAGGCACUGGGAGGAACUGGAUGGUGUAGGGUGUCAGGGUUACUGGGCGAUACUGGUGCAGGGCACUGGGUGGCACUGGACGAUGCUGGGGCAGGGCACUGGGAGGAACUGGGAGCUGCAGGGGCAGGGUUACUGGGCAGCACUGGGGAGCGCAGGUGCCAGGUUACUGGGAUGUACUGGGCAAUGCCGGGGCAGGUUACUGGGAGGCACUGGGCGCUAUGGCCCCGCCCCUUCGAGUUGUGGGCGGGGCGUCCCGCGGCCUCUUCCUAUUGGCCGGCGAGGCGACCAAUGAGCGGCGGCGCGCGGGGGGGUUUGAAUGGGCGGGGGCGCGCGCGCGCGCCGCGGGGCGGCAUGAAUGGAGCGGGGCGGCGCGAGCAGGAGGG
rnacentral:lncRNA from 1 species